GUUGCCAUCGACCACCAACCACACAGCACUGACCAGUGGGCCGGUAGUGCAAGCAAGGGAAGCCCCAGCCAGAUCUGGUGCAGCACCGCCACCGCCUCCGGCAGACUAGGAUGGAGCUUCUCUACCUGCAGGUCGUCGUCAGAUGCGCAACGGCCAGAUCCUCGUCAAGAUGAGAACAGCGCCGCUACCCUACAACUAGCCUCUCAUCACCUUCUCCGUUUCCCAUGGGGCUUUAUUUUCUUAGGCUACUCUGCUCCCUCCUACACCCUCGUGCUCUUUCUCUCCAUAGUUCCAUCAAGAUGAACCGCUGCCACAAGCCGACGUGCAGCUCUCUCAUGUGGACCAUGGUUGCUGCUUCAGAGGCCAUCAUGCCUUUCCAGAGCAUGUUGCUAUACAUCAAUUCGAUGGAUAAAAAUACAGAAAGCUUCUUGCAUUCACACACACAAGGCUCUAUUCAGGUGAGAGUACGUACUUUACUGCUGCAAUAGUACCCAUGUACGUUACAGAAUCAAGACAUUUCUUUGCGAAUAAUCAAGCCAUAUUUCAUAAGAUCUACUACAGUGUUGUACUCAGAUUACAUGAGCCAGUUAUGGAGUUCCUUCUAAGUUAUGCCAGAUUAAGACCGUGAGUUGAUCUAUUCUUA